rnacentral:lncRNA from 1 species
GAUCAGUGUACAUUUUCUUUUCCAUGCCUCCAGUGACGACAUUUGCAUAUAUCUGUCUUCGAAUUCCAGUUGACUGCUGAGGACAUGAAAGUCCUAGAUGGCCUGCACAGAAACUUGCGAUAUCUUCCUAUUGAGUUCACUCAGGACCACCCUGAGUAUCCAUUCGCUGAUGAAUAUUAACAUGGAGCACAUUGCCCUGACUGCUGCUAGAAAUUCCUUUCUGUGGAGAAUGGUGCAGAAGACAUAUCAGACACUACUGUUCCACACAUCCUCCUCAGCAAACCAUGCUGAUUAGUAACUGUCACAGCUUGAGUUGAGUUGAACUGUCCAGAAGAAAAAGGAGCUACAUUAACAUCAGAUUUUUGGAAAAAAAAAAACAAAGAAUUUUUUAAAGAUUCUUGCAUUGUGCUGUUUCUGUUAUUUGUCUGGUGUGUUUAUUUUGGUCUCAUUAUGGCUGAAAAUAGACUUGGCUGGAGAUCUGUGGGAAAGGCUAUAUCAGGAGGUGGGA